UCCCUGGAGGAGUAGUGGUUAGGCCUUGGCGCUCUCAUUGUCGUGGUCUGGGUUCGAUUCCCGGCCAGGGAA